rnacentral:miRNA from 1 species
AGCCUCUUUGACUGGAAGGAUUCCCUUCCGGUCGACGGGGCUGUACAGCCUCUUUGAAUUCCCUUCCAGUCAAAGAGGCUCUACAGCCCCUUUGACCGGAAGGGAAUCCUUUCAGGCAAAGAGGCU